rnacentral:rRNA from 1 species
UACGUAGGGUGCAAGCGUUGUCCGGAAUUAUUGGGCGUAAAGAGCUCGUAGGCGGUUUGUCGCGUCGGCUGUGAAAACCUAAGGCUCAACCUUGGGCUUGCAGUGGGUACGGGCAGACUAGAGUGCGGUAGGGGUGACUGGAAUUCCUGGUGUAGCGGUGGAAUGCGCAGAUAUCAGGAGGAACACCGAUGGCGAAGGCAGGUCACUGGGCCGCAACUGACGCUGGAGGAG